rnacentral:tRNA from 1 species
GAGGAUAUAGCUCAAGUGGUAGAGUGCAUGCUUAGCAUGCACGAGGUCCUGGGUUCAAUCCCCAGUACCUCCU